UACGGAGGGUGCGAGCGUUGUCCGGAAUUACUGGGCGUAAAGCGUGCGCAGGCGGUUUGUUAAGACAGAUGUGAAAUCCCCGGGCUUAACCUGGGAACUGCAUUUGUGACUGGCAGCUAGAGUAUGGCAGAGGGGGGUAGAAUUCCACGGUGUAGCAGUGAAAUGCGUAGAGAUGUGGAGGAAUACCGAUGGCGAAGGCAGCCCCCUGGGCCAAUACGUGACGCUCAUGCACGAAAGCGUGGGGAGCAAACAGG
rnacentral:rRNA from 1 species